rnacentral:rRNA from 1 species
UACGAAGGGGGCUAGCGUUGCUCGGAAUCACUGGGCGUAAAGGGUGCGUAGGCGGGUCUUUAAGUCAGGGGUGAAAUCCUGGAGCUCAACUCCAGAACUGCCUUUGAUACUGAGGAUCUUGAGUACGGGAGAGGUGAGUGGAACUGCGAGUGUAGAGGUGAAAAUUCGUAGAUAUUCGCAAGAACACCAGUGGCGAAGGCGGCUCACUGGCCCGUAACUGACGCUGAGGCACGAAAGCGUGGGGAGCAAACAGG